CAAUAGCGUAUAUUAAAGUUGUUGCGGUUAAAAAGCUCGUAGUUGGAUUUCUGUUGAGGGCGUCCGGUCCGCACUUUGUGCGUGUAUCUGGUUCGGUCUUGGCAUCCUCUUGGGGAACGUUUCUGUGCUUAAUUGCAUGGGGCGGAAUUCAAGACUUUUACUUUGAGGAAAUUAGAGUGUUCACGGCAAGCUAUCGCUUUGAAUACAUUAGCAUGGAAUAAUAAAAUAGGACUUGGUUCUAUUUUGUUGGUUUCUAGGACCGAAGUAAUGAUUAAUAGGGACAGUUGGGGGCGAUUCAUAUUCCAAUGUCAGAGGUGAAAUUCUUGGAUUAUCGGAAGAUGAACUUCUGCGAAAGCAUCUGCCAAGGAUGUUUCAUUGAUCAAGAACGAAAGUUAGGGAUCGAAGACGAUUAGAUACCGU
rnacentral:rRNA from 1 species